UACCCCCCCCUAACUUAAGCAUAUCAAUAAGCGGAGGAAAAGAAACCAACCGGGAUUGCCUCAGUAACGGCGAGUGAAGCGGCAAGAGCUCAAAUUUGAAAGCUGGCUCCUUCGGAGUCCGCAUUGUAAUUUGCAGAGGAUGCUUUGGGUGCGGCCCCCGUCUAAGUGCCCUGGAACGGGCCGUCAGAGAGGGUGAGAAUCCCGUCUUGGGCGGGGUGUCCGUGCCCGUGUAAAGCUCCUUCGACGAGUCGAGUUGUUUGGGAAUGCAGCUCUAAAUGGGUGGUAAAUUUCAUCUAAAGCUAAAUACUGGCCGGAGACCGAUAGCGCACAAGUAGAGUGAUCGAAAGAUGAAAAGCACUUUGAAAAGAGAGUUAAACAGCACGUGAAAUUGUUGAAAGGGAAGCGCUUGCGACCAGACUCGCCCGCGGGGUUCAGCCGGCAUUCGUGCCGGUGUACUUCCCCGUGGGCGGGCCAGCGUCGGUUUGGGCGGCCGGUCAAAGGCCCCUGGAAUGUAGUACCCUCCGGGGUACCUUAUAGCCAGGGGUGCAAUGCGGCCAGCCUGGACCGAGGAACGCGCUUCGGCACGGACGCUGGCAUAAUGGUCGUAAACGACCCGUCUUGAAAACGGGGGACAA
rnacentral:rRNA from 1 species